UCAAGUCCUUUAAAGAGAUCCAAUACGUGUGGCAACCUAAUGUCUGUCCAGUCCUUUAAAGAGAUCCAAUAGGUGUGGCAACCUAAUGUCUGUCCAGUCCUUUAAAGAGAUCCAAUACGUGUGGCAACCUAAUGUCUGUCCAGUCCUUUAAAGAGAUCCGAUAGGUGUGGGAACCUAAUGUCUGUCACUCUUGCCAGAGGUGUUGUAUGUGUUGAAUGAAUAGAAUCUCCAGCUUAGAUUUUCAUAAAAUUCCUUAACAAAACAUCCACUCUGUUCCACAAUAAGACUCAAUUGCAGUAAGAUUGAUUGAUUUCAACAUUUCCAUUUUUUGAAAUUUAAUACGUGAAUGCAUUAUUAUGAGUUUACAUUUGUAAAAUCGUCCAUAUAGGGUUGUGAAUAAUACAGUUAUCUUUAUAAUUUGUAUUGGAGCACGUAAUCUGAAAUGUCAAUGAACAAUAGUAAUCAUGAUAUAUACGAUUAAAAGAGUUCAAGUCAAAAGUCAUGCCUGAACACAUUAGCUGUUCAGUUAAAUACAAUUUAAUGUAUUAAGAAAGGAAAUGUACACAUGUUAUAUCUUUUGUUUAAUUGCAUUUGCAUUUUAAUUAAUGUUUCUUUGUUACAAUAAUACUUAAUCUUUUGAAUAUUGUAUUUGUCCCUUUUUUGUCAAUUUUUAUAUUUUUACAGAAAGAAGACAUAUGUAGCAAAAUGUGCAUCUUUUGUCAUUAGGCAGUAAAAUAACAUUAAUAUUCAUAUUUUGUGCGUAAAGCGUUCAUUAUUUCAUCAUUGAACAGUAUCAUAACAUUUGAGUACAUUUGUAGCAUAGAUAUAUCAUUGAAAUUGUGUGAGCUUGUGUAAAUACAAAUAAAAAGUAAAUCCAUCUGAUCAAGAACGGCUGUGUAUAUGUUUAAAUAGUAAGAAGACAGGUUCAUUUGGUUCUUACAAAAAAUUUAUAUGAUUUAACUAUAUACUUUAAUAUACGGUAAAUCAAACUCGUCUAUAUGAAUAGUGUAUUUGCCAAAUGAUUCGGAGAUUGCAUCCAAGUCAAUAUUUGUAUGUUUUGUUUCAUGUUAAUAUUAUAUUUUAAAUGUUUACUUUUAUUUUAACUUAUUUUAUUAUACUUUAAUAAAACACUGUUAUGAACAUACAA